rnacentral:rRNA from 1 species
UACGAAGGGUGCAAGCGUUAUCCGGAUUCAUUGGGUUUAAAGGGUGCGUAGGUGGGGCGUUAAGUCAGUGGUGAAAUCCUGCAGCUCAACUGUAGACUUGCCAUUGAUACUGGCGCUCUUGAGUGCGCUUGAAGUAGGCGGAAUGUGCCGUGUAGCGGUGAAAUGCUUAGAUAUGACAUAGAAUACCAAUUGCGAAGGCAGCUGGCUACGCGAAUAUUGACACUCAGGCACGAAAGCGUGGGGAUCAAACAGG